AUACGGAGGGUGCAAGCGUUAUCCGGAAUCAUUGGGUUUAAAAGGGUCCGCAGGCGGUCAAUUAAGUCAGAGGUGAAAUCCCAUAGCCUUAACUAUGGAACUGCCUUUGAUUACUGGUUGACUUGAGUUAUACGGAAGUAGAUAGAAUAAGUAGUGUAGCGGUGAAAUGACAUAGAUAUUACUUAGAAUACCGAUUGCGAAAGGCAGUCUACUAACGUACUAUACUAGACGCUCAUGGACGAAAGCGUGGGGAAGCGAACGAGGAUUAAGAUACCCUGGUAGUCCACGCCGUAAACGAUGGUACACUAGCUGUUCGGACUUCGGUUUGAGUGG
rnacentral:rRNA from 1 species